UACGUAGGUGGCACGCGUUGUCCGGAAUUAUUGGGCGUAAAGCGCGCGCAGGCGGUUUCUUAAGUCUGAUGUGAAAGCCCCCGGCUUAACCGGGGAGGGUCAUUGGAAACUGGGAGACUUGAGUGCAGGAGAGGGAAGCGGAAUUCCAUGUGUAGCGGUGCAAUGCGUAGAGAUAUGGAGGAACGCCAGUGGCGAAGGCGGCUUCCUGGCCUGUAACUCAAGCUGAGGCGCGAAAGCGUGGGGAGCAAACA
rnacentral:rRNA from 1 species